UGACCUUUUUGAGGAUUGAACUCAAUUCUAUCGAUUGACAAUCGAUUGUACUAACCAUGUAUACUAAAAGGCC
rnacentral:tRNA from 1 species